rnacentral:rRNA from 1 species
UACGUAGGUGGCAAGCGUUAUCCGGAAUUAUUGGGCGUAAAGCGCGCGCAGGUGGUUUCUUAAGUCUGAUGUGAAAGCCCACGGCUCAACCGUGGAGGGUCAUUGGAAACUGGGAGACUUGAGUGCAGAAGAGGAAAGUGGAAUUCCCGGUGUAGUGGUGAAAUGCGUAGAUAUCGGGAGGAACACCAGUGGCGAAGGCGACUUCCUGGCCUGUUCUUGACGCUGAGGCGCGAAAGCUAGGGGAGCAAACGGG